rnacentral:rRNA from 1 species
GAUGAACGCUGGCGGCGUGCCUAAUACAUGCAAGUCGAGCGAACGGGCGAGAAGCUUGCUUCUCUGAUGUUAGCGGCGGACGGGUGAGUAACACGUGGAUAACCUACCUAUAAGACUGGGAUAACUUCGGGAAACCGGAGCUAAUACCGGAUAAUAUUUUGAACCGCAUGGUUCGAAAGUGAAAGACGGUCUUGCUGUCACUUAUAGAUGGAUCCGCGCUGCAUUAGCUAGUUGGUAAGGUAACGGCUUACCAAGGCAACGAUGCAUAGCCGACCUGAGAGGGUGAUCGGCCACACUGGAACUGAGACACGGUCCAGACUCCUACGGGAGGCAGCAGUAGGGAAUCUUCCGCAAUGGGCGAAAGCCUGACGGAGCAACGCCGCGUGAGUGAUGAAGGUCUUCGGAUCGUAAAACUCUGUUACUAGGGAAGAACAUAUGUGUAAGUAACUGUGCACAUCUUGACGGUACCUAAUCAGAAAGCCACGGCUAACUACGUG